GAUGAACGCUAGCUACAGGCUUAACACAUGCAAGUCGAGGGGCAGCAUGUAGGUUGCUUGCAACCUAUGAUGGCGACCGGCGCACGGGUGCGUAACGCGUAUCCAACCUUCCCCGCAGUAGGGUCCAGCCCGUUGAAAGACGGAUUAAUCCCCUAUGUUGUCCAUUGACGGCAUCCGAUUUGGACGAAAGGUUUCACCGCUGCGGGAUGGGGAUGCGUAGGAUUAGGUAGUCGGAGGGGUAACGGCCCACCGAGCCUUCGAUCCUUAGGGGUUCUGAGAGGAAGGUCCCCCACACUGGAACUGAGACACGGUCCAGACUCC
rnacentral:rRNA from 1 species